CUACGGGAGGCAGCAGUCGAGAGGCUUCGGCAAUGGGGGAAACCCUGACCGAGCGACGCCGCGUGGGUGAUGAAGAUCCUCGGAUCGUAAAACCCUGUCAGGUGGGAUGAAAUACCAUUCGGUUAAUACCCGAGUGGCUUGACAGUACCUCCUUAGCAAGCACCGGCUAACUUCGUGCCAGCAGCCGCGGUAAU
rnacentral:rRNA from 1 species